CGCCUAUAGACUGUGGGGAACUUCCAUCAAUAGCGGAAGGUGUGGUCAUUCUGGACAAAGUCGAUGGAACUUUUUAUAACGACACAGCUACAGUGACAUGCGACGACUCUAUGUUUAAGACCUACAAAAUAGCAUGUACAAAAGAGGGAUCAUGGGAAACAGCAUUAUGCCCACCAUACAUGCUGGUGAAAAAUGCGUCCACUUGGUGGCAAGCAAAGGGAGCCUGCGAAAGUCUAGGUGGCCGACUGGCUGACAUAAAAUCCCAGAGUGAGCAGGAUGUCAUACAACAAAUCAUUGUUACCCAGAAUAUAGGAGGU